rnacentral:rRNA from 1 species
UACACUCCUGCGGGAGGCAGCAGUGGGGAAUAUUGCACAAUGGGCGCAAGCCUGAUGCAGCCAUGCCGCGUGUAUGAAGAAGGCCUUCGGGUUGUAAAGUACUUUCAGCGGGGAGGAAGGCGAUAAGGUUAAUAACCUUGUUGAUUGACGUUACCCGCAGAAGAAGCACCGGCUAACUCCGUGCCAGCAGCCGCGGUAAUACGGAGGGUGCAAGCGUUAAUCGGAAUUACUGGGCGUAAAGCGCACGCAGGCGGUCUGUCAAGUCGGAUGUGAAAUCCCCGGGCUCAACCUGGGAACUGCAUUCGAAACUGGCAGGCUAGAGUCUUGUAGAGGGGGGUAGAAUUCCAGGUGUAGCGGUGAAAUGCGUAGAGAUCUGGAGGAAUACCGGUGGCGAAGGCGGCCCCCUGGACAAAGACUGACGCUCAGGUGCGAAAGCGUGGGGAGCAAACAGGAUUAGAUACCCCGUAGUCC